AUGAAGCUAUGCAUGUCACUCACAAGUUAUAUUGUUUGCAUUAGUAUUUUUGUAGUAAUGGACCGUAUAUGUGUCAAACAUCUUGAGAAAAAAAAUAGUUCAUGUUUAACAUUUCUGUUAAAAGAUGGCAUCAAGUCAAAUUCAAUUCAAAAGUUUCUUAUUUUUAUACAUAUGACCGCAAGUUUAAGCUUGACAAGAUCAGCAACAUUGGAUGGUGGAUCUGCUCACGGUCUCGCAUGUUUAACAGGAAGGGUUGUGAUUGUAAAAGAAGAUGUGGUAGAAAUUAUGGAUAUCAAUAAUCAAAAUAAGUAUCCAGAGGAAUCCGGGCACCAUAGCGAUUCAUCGUUAUAUUAUACGACGAGACCAGGGGGCAACAAUAUUGAUAAGGUUAGAAACCUACCUGAUGGCCACAACCCUCUGGAGAUGUGGUUCACUCGUGAGCCCAACAAGUCCAUCCCGUACUCACUGCACCUAACAAACAACAUAGAUCAGAAUGUGGCAUUCAGGCUUAUAGAAAAGAGUGGGAGAUCAAUGGGCCACUUCAAAUAUGAGCAACCAUAUGGUAUUGUGCCUCCAAGAUCCUCUUACACUUUGGUCAUUAAAAAGGAACAAGCAUCACUUGGUCUAGCUAUUCAGAGCAGUACAUCAGGGGAUAGGUACAAAAUGCUAUUCAAAGACCAAUCUGAGUGUGAUGAUUUCUUUUCUGAAGUGAAAGAGAUGGGAAAUUUGGUGCAUCAUGUGGCACUAAAAACUGUGUACAGUCCACAUCAAGCAGGGCUGACGAUGUCUGAGAUCAUAUCCACGGAGGACAUUUCUAUUAGCACAUCCAUACAUGCACAUCCGACGGAACCAUGGAUUAUAACCGGUCAUCGAGAUGGACAUGUUUCUUUGUGGAAGUACGACUCAAAGUCUAUUAAUCGGCGGCAAAUCCGUGCAUCGUCAGCUGCUGCAUCGACAUCUUGGAUGCACAGAGUUUUCCACCCAAAGUCUAGCACUCAGGAAUUGAUGGAUUCCCUUAAAAUCUCAGAGCAACCAGUUUCCUCCAUCAAAUUUAUUGCAAGAAAACAAUGGGUUGUGGCCGGGGCAGAUGAUGGUAUCGUUUAUGUGUACAAAUGUGUCUCCGGAACACGCAUGCAAAAGAUCAAGAGUUUCCAUGCUGAUUUUCGUUACAUUAUCCCCCUAGCCGUUCAUCCAAUCCAGCCAUGUGUGCUGUCAUCGGGGAAGCUCUGGGACUGGAACAAGGGCUGGAAGUGCACACGAACAUUUGCCACUAGCAGCGUUAUAUUUCAGGUCAUGUUUAACCAAGAGGACACCAAUAGUUUUGCGGCCGCGUUGCAAGAUGGCACAAUAGAGGUUUGGAGCCUCGAUUCUCCUGUACGAAAUUAUACUCUGUCGGGGCAUUUGGACCAAGUGAACUGUCUUGACUUUUUCAGACGUGAUAAUCAUCAGUAUUUGAUCACUGGCUCUAAUGAUUGUACAGCCAAGAUAUGGGACUUGCAGGAAAUGGCCUGCAUUCAUACGGUCGAAGCUAUCAUGUCACCAGUUAUUUUUGCCAUUUCCCUUCCCGGUCGUCCAUAUCUGGUUACAGGUUCAAAACAUAGAACUGUCCAAGUCUGGAGCUCCACUGAUUUCAGGCUUGUGAGAACCGUUAACCUACAGGCUGGUGGACCUGUUCGUGGUCUUGUAUGUUUGAUGGAUUCAAGGAGGGUUGCUAUUGGACAAAGCAAUUCAUUAUCGAUCAUGGAAAUCGACGAUGAAGAAGCAGUUGCUAGCGAGGGCAGCAAAUGA
rnacentral:rRNA from 1 species